UACAAUAUUAAUUUGCAUACGCAAAUGACACGUACCAAAUUUUGGCGCUGUUGCCGGUGAGAUUUAUUAGUUAGUCUCUCCGUGGAUUUUAACAUAUAUAUUAAUGUACGCAAACGCAAAGCCAGUUCAUUGAGACUCUAAAUGAAGCUAGCCCAAAGAAAUUACUUUACAUCUUUCAAGAUAGACCACUUGAAGACUCAGAGAUGGGUGAUGAAAGAACCUUGAAGGAAUUAGGAGCUCCGAAGUUAGAUGAUGAACCUCUCUGCAUUGUUUUUCCAACCUUGGAAAAACCUUUGAAGUUGAACUCAGUUUUCUUAAUCUCCUUCCCAAAUUCUAUGGGAACGCAGAAUGUUAUCUGCAAUCACACUAUAAUUUCAGAACCUGACAAGGGCUAUAGCCCUCUAAUACAGUGGCAGAUGUCCAAGGCAUCACAAGAGUGAAACAAACUUUGAUAUACUGGAUUAUGAAAUAACGAUGCCAUCAUUGAACAACAGAAGAUUGUUGGAGCUCUGGAUUUUUUUCAAGGAAAGUUACAGCUCGGAAGCAGACAUGAAACAUAUUCCAACAGCGAGCACAACAUACAUUUAACCAUCUAAGUUUCCGCUUAUUUUUUUUUUCUUUUGUUUCAUUGAGGACAAUGAAAAGCUUAAGUUUGGGGGAAGCUAAGCAUUUGUGUAUUUAACAUCAAUAUGAUGGAAAACAGGUUUUGACAUUCUUAUGAACUUGGACUACUUGUCUCAUUGUAGAAAAGUGUUGCGGAAAUUUUGGUAGGA